rnacentral:rRNA from 1 species
GGGGGUGCCCGAGGAUCGAUUUCUCUGCAAUGCUUGAAAGCGUGAUCGGGGAGAGUCUGAGUGGAGGAAACUUACUUUCCGUCUUUUGCCAAGUGUAGAACCGACUUGAAAAAUAAGGGUGUGGGCAAAACUGGUGGAAUCCGCCGCGAUAACACCAGCGCCUCUAGUGGUACCUCACGAAUAUGGAGGCCUAAGGCGUCCGUAGCUGGACCUCUUAGUCCGCUGUGAAAUGUUGGGGCAUCAACCCUAAUUCGUGCAUAUGGAUACAGUUGGUCUUGGGAACGGGGGAGGGUCGGGGUACUUCAUGGGUAGGGGUAAAAUCCUUUGAACCUGGAAUGACCACCAGUAGUGAAGGCGCCAAUUCAAAACGUGUCCGACGGUAAGGGACUAACCCUGGGUGAGCGAACUGGAUUAAAUACCCCGGUAGACCCAGCUGUUGAUGAUGUAUAAUGUGGUGUUAAACUUAAUCAAUCAAGUGUAAUG